rnacentral:rRNA from 1 species
AGAGUUUGAUCAUGGCUCAGAUUGAACGCUGGCGGCAUGCUUUACACAUGCAAGUCGAACGGUAACAGGCCGCAAGGUGCUGACGAGUGGCGAACGGGUGAGUAAUGUAUCGGAACGUGCCCAGUCGUGGGGGAUAACGCAGCGAAAGCUGCGCUAAUACCGCAUACGAUCUAUGGAUGAAAGCGGGGGACCGUAAGGCCUCGCGCGAUUGGAGCGGCCGAUAUCAGAUUAGGUAGUUGGUGGGGUAAAGGCUCACCAAGCCAACGAUCUGUAGCUGGUCUGAGAGGACGACCAGCCACACUGGGACUGAGACACGGCCCAGACUCCUACGGGAGGCAGCAGUGGGGAAUUUUGGACAAUGGGCGCAAGCCUGAUCCAGCAAUGCCGCGUGCAGGAAGAAGGCCUUCGGGUUGUAAACUGCUUUUGUACGGAACGAAACGGUCCUGGUUAAUACCUGGGGCUAAUGACGGUACCGUAAGAAUAAGCACCGGCUAACUACGUGCCAGCAGCCGCGGUAAUACGUAGGGUGCAAGCGUUAAUCGGAAUUACUGGGCGUAAAGCGUGCGCAGGCGGUUUUGUAAGACAGGCGUGAAAUCCCCGGGCUUAACCUGGGAAUGGCGCUUGUGACUGCAAAGCUGGAGUGCGGCAGAGGGGGAUGGAAUUCCGCGUGUAGCAGUGAAAUGCGUAGAUAUGCGGAGGAACACCGAUGGC